GCACAUCUGGCCGAGUGGUCUAAGGCGCUGUGUUCAGGAGACGUUCAUUCGUAUCUUUCGCAGUCUCGUAAGAGGCCUGGGUUCGAGUCCCAGGGUGUGUA